rnacentral:lncRNA from 10 species
CGGCCGCGGAGGAGGAGGAAGGGGAGGAGGGCGAGGCGGGAGGUGCAGGAGGGACCCUCGCCAUGGGUCCACGGGCCUAGAGUGGCGGAAGAUACCGGCCUGGUGCCAAACUGGCUACUGCUGCUUCCUGUGGCCUCCAUGGCUGAGGACUGGCUGGACUGCCCGGCCCUGGGCCCUGGCUGGAAGCGCCGCGAAGUCUUUCGCAAGUCAGGGGCCACCUGUGGACGCUCAGACACCUAUUACCAGAGGUACUGGGUGGGUAGUGGGCAGAGUCAGGAGUGGGGUAGAGCCUGAUUCUGGUAAAAUCAAAUGGUGUGGUUAAAUUUAUGGAUGAAGUUUAAAUUAUGCACAUACAGUUAAUCCUUAUUAGCGGAUUUUAUGUUUG